rnacentral:rRNA from 1 species
GAGUUUGAUCGUGGCUCAGAUUGAACGCUGGCGGCAUGCCUUACACAUGCAAGUCGAACGGCAGCACGGGAGCUUGCUCCUGGUGGCGAGUGGCGAACGGGUGAGUAAUGCAUCGGAACGUAUCCUGGAGUGGGGGAUAACGUAGCGAAAGUUACGCUAAUACCGCAUAUUCUGUGAGCAGGAAAGCGGGGGGACCUUCGGGGCCUCGCGCUCUUGGAGCGGCCGAUGUCGGAUUAGCUAGUUGGUGAGGUAAAGGCUCACCAAGGCGACGAUCCGUAGCAGGUCUGAGAGGAUGAUCUGCCACACUGGAACUGAGACACGGUCCAGACUCCUACGGAGGCAGCAGUGGGGAAUUUUGGACAAUGGGGGCAACCCUGAUCCAGCCAUGCGCGUGAGUGAAGAA